ACAAAGGUGCAGGUUUGGGCGAUAAUUUUGCAAAAAGUAAAUAAGAUAUGAAACUGAAAAUUUAAUACAAUGAGGAUAAAAGUAUUGGCUUUUAAAUGAGACCAUUUUCAUCUUUCUGCGAUCAGAAAUAAGUUCAAAACAUUGAUUUGAAAUGACCCUGUCAUUCACCAUUUCUCGUCUUUUUUUUGCAUUUUCCGAGAAUAGGGUCACGUAAGGUCGCUACGUCAUCACUCACGUCAUUUAGGAGCUGGACAUAACAAUAACAAUAUGGCUUUCAACGGUCACAAGUAUUUCUCUGAAAUAAAAUAAUUUUAUUGUGUUUGUAGAUGGAGGAUCGGAAAAAAACUUUAUGAGAAAAUACAUCUCAGAAUGCCUGCUGUUGAAAAUUACCAAGGAUGGAGGCGAAUGCAUUAUACAGGAGCUGAAAAAAGAGCAACAUGUCCAGGCCUGCUAAAUAUUUACAAGCAUACUGAAGAAGUGUGAAGCAUACUGAAGUGAUGUGUGUUCCACAGCUGUAAAUUAUGGAAGGAAAAACAGAGCACUACAGUGAUUUGCACAGGCCAAGAUGUCUCAAGUUGUACAUUCAUACAGAAGUGAUGGUGACAGGCUUUUACGCAACUUGUGAAGAAAAAUCAGGUAGCUAGAGCAGAGACCAGAUGCUGUGAUUGAUGCAAACAGAGAUAGACGUUUUACAAUUGAAAUGAUAGACUCUGAUAUUUGCAUGUAUUGUUUUGCAUGAUGAACCUUGCCCGUACAAGUGGCUAUGCCCGUAAAAGAGGCACACUUUUGCUUAUUGUGUUUGUUGUAUUUCAAUAUAAAAAGUAAUGGUAAAGGUCUCCGAGAUGAAGGUUUAGUGUUGUUGUCUGUAUUAUGAGUCCAAUACCCUGUCCUGUCUGUCCGCAAUUAAGUCUUUGUCAGCUUG